GAGCAAUCCUGGCGGCGAGUGGCGAACGGGUGAGUAAUACAUCGGAACGUGCCCAAUCGUGGGGGAUAACGCAGCGAAAGCUGUGCUAAUACCGCAUACGAUCUACGGAUGAAAGCAGGGGAUCGCAAGACCUUGCGCGAAUGGAGCGGCCGAUGGCAGAUUAGGUAGUUGGUGAGGUAAAGGCUCACCAAGCCUUCGAUCUGUAGCUGGUCUGAGAGGACGACCAGCCACACUGGGACUGAGACACGGCCCAGACUCCUACGGGAGGCAGCAGUGGGGAAUUUUGGACAAUGGGCGAAAGCCUGAUCCAGCCAUGCCGCGUGCAGGAUGAAGGCCUUCGGGUUGUAAACUGCUUUUGUACGGAACGAAAAGGUCUCUUCUAAUACAGGGGGCCCAUGACGGUACCGUAAGAAUAAGCACCGGCUAACUACGUGCCAGCAGCCGCGGUAAUACGUAGGGUGCAAGCGUUAAUCGGAAUUACUGGGCGUAAAGCGUGCGCAGGCGGUUAUAUAAGACAGUUGUGAAAUCCCCGGGCUCAACCUGGGAACUGCAUCUGUGACUGUAUAGCUAGAGUACGGUAGAGGGGGAUGGAAUUCCGCGUGUAGCAGUGAAAUGCGUAGAUAUGCGGAGGAACACCGAUGGCGAAGGCAAUCCCCUGGACCUGUACUGACGCUCAUGCACGAAAGCGUGGGGAGCAAACA
rnacentral:rRNA from 1 species